rnacentral:rRNA from 1 species
AUGCCAGGACCAGACAAUCUGAAUAUUUUUUGCCAUACCACGACGGUCAUCAAAAUUGUCCAUACUGAACCAGAUGUUCAAAAUCCCACAAACUGGCACCAAAUGAAGGAGAUGUUUCUCCAACUCCGUGCUUCCUCAUGUGAUGUGUAUGCGCACCCUCGGCGACCACCGCCGCCGCUACACAGCCCCGACCGCCACGCGGGCCUUGUCGGACCUUCGUCGCACCAUGCAGGCGCUUUCCCGCCUUGGACUGCACCGCCGUUCUACCCUGGAUUCCAUCGCAGCAUAGUGGAUUCGGAUGAGGAGUACUUCUACAACGAGUUCAUGGAGUCAGAUGAGGAGGAGGAAUACGAGGAUGAAACUACCAUGAUGAAGGCGGUAGACGCGGUGCGUGCGUGUGGAGCAUGUUCUCGACUACAAGGGAUCAAUAAAGGGACAUCGAGUGUUGAAUCGGAAUAG